ACUGAUACUUCUCUUUUUCCUUUUUCCUCUCCACUCCUCUGCUUUCUUUGUUUUCCUUCUCCUCUCCAUCCCUUUCAUGACUGUUAGGAAUGUCACAACUACCUACAUUUUCCCAGUUAAGAUAGUUCUCUAAGUCAGUUCCACUGGCUGAAAGUGUACAAGAAGUUAGUUUGGACCUAAGAAUGCUUCAUCUCAAGAAGCCUGAGAUGUUUUUUAGCAAAUGAAGAGAGGGCUGCCCUAAGACAAAGCUCUCUGCUAAAUGCUUCCCAAGGGGAACAGAGGAGUUUGUCAAUAUCCCUCACCCUCCUGCAGCUGGCCAGGAGCAGAUUACCCUGUGACUGAGCAUGGAUGCACUGAAGUGCGAUCUACUUGUUCUGUCCUCACCUCUCCCCCUGCCUGGCAUCCUUUGAAGAAGCAGAGGGGACUGCACUGCUCAGAAACACCAUCCGGGUUUUCCUUUCAGCUCUCAUCAAAUGCUGCUUGGUUCCCUUCAGUUCUCUGGAGAAACCUGCAAAUGGCAAGCAGUACAGAGGAGUGGACAAUAUCUACAUACAGAGCCUACUGAUGGAGUAUCUGCUAUCCAAGCUGACAUCAGCAACCUGGCUGAAAAGAAAUGCUUCCUGGCCCUCAUAGCUUCUGAUGUGUUCCAUCAAAUGCUGUCAGUUCAAAUGAAGAAAUGCUGUUUUCAUGCUGCAUCCUGCAUGCUGCCUGACUCACCGCACUGCUACAUGCAACUGCGCUGUACCCCGGCAGAAGCUGUCACUGCUCUGUUCCCUAAUAGUCUGAGGAAGUUGCAUGGCCUAAUCCCUAUUGGCGUAAGCAUCAGAGUCGCCCAGCUGUGCAGCUCUCUGGAAAUAGUCCCUCCACUCCCCAUUUCUCUCCAGCGUUUUGUUUAGACAGAAAGACUGUUAGACAUUCAGAACAGAGCCUAGUGCUUGGGCUGCCCACAGCAAGCAGAUUUCCAAGCUCAGUCAAAUGCAUGAUUCAAAUGGAUAGCAGCAGCACUGAAAACAAGUGGAGAGUGACCAUGUUUAUCUAAAUUGUAUAUUGAAUAGUGCUUGAUGUCCAGAUGCCUCCCUUUUCUCAGCAGACCAUUUUUUCACUCAUUUAAAAUGACAACAGGAAAGAUAAAAUUCAAAAAGGUACAAACAGACCUUGUACUUCUACAGUAGCAAAGAUUUUUGGAGAGGAUGAAAAAGUCACAAUCUGACAAGGUUUAUAAUUGAUUCCGUCCUUUUGUAACAGACAAAUCCCAUAUCCAAUAUCGCCUGGCUCCUGGAGGUUGCCCUCCUAAUUCUUUCGGCCAAUAUCUUCUUAGUUUUAAAUACCAAACACUCUUUAUUCUCUCCCAACUGAAAUCACUGAACAGUUGAGCACAAGAUAUUAGAGCAUCACAAAUUCAAAUUUUCCUUCAUGACACUUCGAGCAUCGUCUUUUACAGCCCGUUAGACUCGCAAGGGCUACCAAAUUAGUGUUCUGGUCUGUCUCCUCAAAAUAACAAGAACUGAAUUUCCAGUGCUUUUAAAGCCUAUGUGUACAAGGUUCCAAACCAGCUUCUCUGGGCAGACGAGUGUGUCAGAAAGAAAAAACUUCUACCUCAGCUUAUUCUAGAAUAGAGAAGUUCAGUUGAAUGGACUUCC
rnacentral:lncRNA from 7 species